AGUGAACGCUGGCGGUAGGCCUAACACAUGCAAGUCGAACGGCAGCACAGUAAGAGCUUGCUCUUACGGGUGGCGAGUGGCGGACGGGUGAGGAAUACAUCGGAAUCUACUUUUUCGUGGGGGAUAACGUAGGGAAACUUACGCUAAUACCGCAUACGACCUACGGGUGAAAGCAGGGGAUCUUCGGACUUUGCGCGAUUGAAUGAGCCGAUGUCGGAUUAGCUAGUUGGCGGGGUAAAGGCCCACCAAGGCGACGAUCCGUAGCUGGUCUGAGAGGAUGAUCAGCCACACUGGAACAGAGACACGGUCCAGACUCCUACGGGAGGCAGCAGUGGGGAAUAUUAGACAAUGGGCGCAAGCCUGAUCCAGCCAUACCGCGUGGGUGAAGAAGGCCUUCGGGUUGUAAAGCCCUUUUGUUGGGAAAGAAAAGCAGCAGGUUAAUACCCCGCUGUUCUGACGGUACCCAAAGAAUAAGCACCGGCUAACUUCGUG
rnacentral:rRNA from 1 species